rnacentral:ncRNA from 23 species
ACGAGUGACAGGUGUUCGGCCUGGCGUCUCUCGCUUUCGUCCCAUCUUGAUACCUGAUCAUAGCAUCAUAUGGUCAUUCGUCUUGAUGCCGGCGACUGCGAGACUGCCGGCCGUUCUGAGAUUAUACUGUCUGAACUUGAUCUAGAUAAUUCUAGCGAAAGGACACACGCGACUUCACUU